CUUCGCAUUGUAUUGGCAACUUUCUUCUUUUUCUCUAUUUACAGUGCAAUGGCGACCGCCGUCAUAGCUCCGGACCCGAAAAAGCUCCCGCGCCCCGGUCGGGGCGGGUUUCAAGCUCAUGGAUUAACGGAAGAAGAGGCCCGAGUUCGAGCUAUCGCCGAAAUUGUGAACUCCAUGGUGGAACUGUCACGGAAGAACCAAACGGUGGACCUCAACGCGAUCAAAUCCGCCGCAUGUCGAAAAUAUGGGCUCGCACGUGCCCCGAAGCUUGUGGAGAUGAUCGCGGCACUUCCUGAGUCAGACCGUGAGUCCCUGCUUCCAAAACUCCGAGCCAAACCAGUCCGAACCGCUUCCGGAAUCGCAGUCGUGGCGGUUAUGUCGAAGCCGCAUCGGUGCCCGCAUAUUGCCACUACGGGUAACAUUUGUGUAUAUUGCCCCGGUGGACCGGAUUCGGAUUUUGAGUAUAGUACUCAGUCGUAUACUGGAUAUGAGCCAACUAGCAUGCGAGCAAUUCGAGCCAGGUAUAAUCCAUAUGUCCAGGCGAGAAGCCGUAUAGAUCAGCUGAAGCGAUUGGGUCACAGUGUCGACAAGGUUGAAUUCAUCUUGAUGGGUGGUACUUUCAUGUCACUGCCUGCAGAUUACCGAGAUUAUUUUAUUAGGAAUCUUCAUGAUGCUUUAUCCGGACACACUUCUGCCAAUGUUGAAGAGGCAGUUGCCUACUCUGAACAUAGUGCAGUGAAGUGCAUUGGAAUGACAAUUGAAACUAGGCCAGACUAUUGUCUCGGCCCUCAUUUGCGCCAAAUGCUUUCUUAUGGUUGUACACGAUUGGAGAUUGGAGUUCAAAGCACAUAUGAGGAUGUCGCUCGUGACACUAAUAGAGGACACACUGUUGCUGCAGUAGCUGAUUGUUUUUGCUUGGCGAAAGAUGCUGGUUUUAAGGUUGUUGCUCAUAUGAUGCCUGAUCUUCCUAAUGUUGGUGUUGAGAGAGACUUGGAAAGUUUUAAGGAGUUCUUUGAGAGCCCUUUAUUUCGAGCCGAUGGGCUUAAAAUUUAUCCCACCCUUGUAAUUCGUGGAACUGGCCUCUAUGAGCUCUGGAAAACUGGCAGGUAUAGAAACUACCCACCUGAGCAGCUUGUUGACAUUGUGGCGAGGAUCUUGGCCAUGGUACCUCCUUGGACACGUGUUUAUAGGGUUCAGCGUGAUAUUCCUAUGCCUCUGGUUACUUCAGGGGUUGAGAAAGGAAAUCUUCGUGAACUAGCCUUAGCGCGUAUGGAUGACUUGGGCUUGAAGUGUCGAGAUGUUCGAACACGUGAAGCUGGUAUCCAGGACAUUCACCAUAAAAUUAGACCUGAAAAAGUUGAGCUUGUUCGACGUGAUUAUACUGCAAAUGAAGGUUGGGAAACAUUUUUGUCGUAUGAAGAUACGCGCCAGGUACUGCAAGGACCCUUUCUUUGUAUUGGGGUGUGGGCGGUCACUCUGUCUACAGCUGUCUGUCACAUGAUAUUCUUGUUGGGUUGUUGCGGCUGCGAAAAUGUGGCCGGAACACUACUUGCCCUGAACUAAUGGGGAAAUGUUCUAUUGUCCGUGAACUUCACGUGUAUGGAACUGCUGUUCCGGUUCAUGGCAGGGAUGCUGACAAACUCCAACACCAGGGUUAUGGUACACUCUUGAUGGAAGAAGCAGAGCGGAUUGCGAGCAGAGAGCAUAGAUCAACAAAAAUAGCUGUUAUAUCUGGGGUAGGAACCCGGCAUUACUAUAGGAAGUUAGGCUAUGAGCUUGAAGGGCCUUACAUGGUGAAAUAUCUUGUUUAACGAGGCUAGUUUUGUGAUUAAAGAACUAGUGUAAAAUUCUUGGGACAUAUAUAAAUCAUCAAUUUGUUUGCCUGCAGGAAGCCA